CCUCUCUGACAAGCAAAGUCCAGGCUCGUACUGGUGAUUGGUGGGUUCAAAAAUAACAUGCAGUUAUAAAUACUCCAGUUUUUGAAUGCUUAAUGUAAGCGGCAAUUUGUCCCACUUUGUGUGACCGUACUUGAAGGCACCUUCUCCGGUUGUCACACGCUGCACAAAUAGAUUACCCAUUUCCAAGAGAAAUUUACCCAGAUGGACUAAUAUACUGUAUUUUUACCCUUUUGGUUUCAUGUCAUAUUUGCUCCCAAAUGCUGAUACUAUGUGGGAAUGCACAAAGGAAGGCCUUUGAAGGCGAAGGACCGUCUUACCAAAUAUUCUGAGCCGGGCUGCAAACAUGAGCGCGACCCCUACUGGCAGGCCGAUGCAGUAGUAGCUGACCAGGUUGGACACGGCGGCGAUCUUCUGCAUUCCGCAGCCGACCAGGAUUCCAGAGCAGACGCACUGAGCGACAGAAGACGGGGAAACAUCUUAGCAAGCGACAGGUCUCCAUCUCUUCAACAUUGUCCUACUCACCAGCGGACCCGUGAGGUGUAACACGUGGUGCAGUUCCUCCCUAUAGGCCGAUGGCAAGCACCCGAAAAGUUUGGAGCAGGUCCCCUUCACCGCUGUGCCCUCCUGGAGGCUCCUCGUUGGGGGCUGCACAGAGGGGUCCAGCCUGGAAGGCAGCUUCUCCAUUGUAGAGGCAAGUGGGGUCAGUGUAGCGAUGUGUCCAUCUUGCUCUUUUAAACAUAACACAAGUGGCCUUUAUAGACUGAAUAAUUGUGUUAAGAAGAAGAAGAUACUGCUGAAUGAAGAUUUGUCAAAGAUGGGCUCCAAACAUAAUAAUGCGUGCAUGCAUCAUAAGAUUGUUGUUUAGGGCCUAAUGUUGUGUGCGUGCUCUGAAAAGGCUCAGCGGUAAUCUGAUGAGGAAUUCCAGGAAAGUCCUGCGGGCUUUGAUUGAAUUUAACUCACUGAAAUCAGGAGGUUUUUUUAAUGAAAGCAGCCUCUCAGGAGGACGCGUAGAAACAUGAGGUGGAUCCAGACUGACCGGGUCUGGACGACACCGACACCAGUCUGGACAAGAUUUUCAUCAACAAGCUCAUCAGGUGAUCAGACAAAAUCAGUACUUUAUUUGCUCCUUGAUGACGCUGUAGAAGCUGACAGUCCAAAUGUAAAAAUUUGUAGUGAUUGAAUAAACUGAGUGCCAGCUAGCAGUUAGCAAGCAAACGCUAAUAACAAUGAAAGCACUAAAGCGAUAGUUUCUAAGCUGAAUGCCUCAGUUCCAGUGUGGAUGCUCUGUGGGGCAUUCGUUCCAGCGGUUGGUGCUUGUUGCGGCGUUGGAUCGGCAAAGUGAAUGUAUAGCGCCGGGUGGCGCAAGCUCGCGAUACCCAGGGUAUGUGAAGUGGUGACGCCCUGCGAUUCAUAAGUGUUAUACAGUAGUAGGCAUCUUCUGUGCCUCACACAGAUUCACUGCACUUGAGUACCAUCUGGUGGCUCAAAUGUGACAUGACACAGUGAUCAUUGAAUGAUAAACUUAAUGAUGAUAUGGUCUUUUAAGAAAAAAGGUCAAAAUUAUCAAUUAUCGUCGAUAAUUGACAGCACAAUUACCGUUAUCGUGACAGGCCUAUUAACAACUAAAAGGUUAAUAUAACGUCUAUGUCAUAUAUUUGUUCAAUCAACUGGGGGAAUAGUUAAUAAAUAGCUGUUUUGCCCCAGUUGGAGCAUUUCUCAGCCACACAAGCACAGAGAGGAGACUACAUGUAACAGACUGCCAGGAGCUGAGUCUUCAGGUGGGACACCCAAAUUGGCCAGGUCUCAGGGUAGAGGCCUGACAAAGUGCAAUCCCCUUCUCCAGGUUGAGGGCUGGACACGCAGCUAACAAGCCAUGCCAUGAACUAAACACUGUUAUCAAAAGGAAAAAAAACGGCGCAUGAUGUGUGUGCAUAAUGCCCCUUUCACAUUUCUGACUGCCCACCCCAUAUGUGCAUGCCUAGAACCGGCCCUGUUGGCAGGGUGAAACAGUGGUCCCACCCCCACUCCAAUCCUAACAACUGACAGUUAAGUCCAGCAACGUGAGCCAGUGAGCCAAAACCCCAAGCUCAGGGUGUAGUAUGACUUUGUUCCAAUAAUAUUAUAACUUUCUUCAACAUAAGUUUCCAAAAAUGACAACUUUAUUUGGUUUUGUUUUGUCAUGAUAUUACGAGUUUAAAAAAAUUACAUAUUUUUUCUUUAAUAUUUCAACUCUAUGCUACCAAAAUGGCAUUAGUUUUGCUUGUUACAGUUUUACUUUACUGUCAUAAAAUUACAGCCUUUUUUUAUUUCCAACUUGGAUAUUUUGUAAAGCAACACAUGUAGAUAUGCUAACUAGUUAUAUAUAUUUCAAGAAAAAAACUACAGCUCAGGUUUGUGAUAUAGGUGAAAUAGCCUAUUAUUAAGAUCAACUUCACUUUUUGCUCUUUUUUUUCAUUUUUUUGCCUUUUUUUAUGUUCCAAGUGUUUCAACUUUUUUCAUAACUAAUCUUCAUAAAAAUGUUUCUUAUAAUUUUAUGACUUUAUUCCCAUCAUAUUUGUACUUUUUGUAUUCCAAUAAUAUAACUUUU